UUCGAUCCUGGCUCAGAUUGAACGCUGGCGGGAUCUUUACACAUGCAAGUCGAACGGCAGCACGGACUUCGGUCUGGUGGCGAGUGGCGAACGGGUGAGUAUGUAUCGGAACGUGCCUAGUAGCGGGGGAUAACUACGCGAAAGCAUAGCUAAUACCGCAUACGCCCUUCGGGGAAAGCAGGGGACCUUCGGGCCUCGCACUAUUAGAGCGGCCGAUAUCAGUUAGCUGGUUGGUGGAGUAACGGCUCACCAAGGGCGACGAUCCCGUAGCUGGUUUGAGAGGACGACCAGCCACACUGGGACUGAGACACGGCCCAGACUCCUACGGGAGGCGGCGGUGGGGCUUUGGACAAUGGAAACCUGAUCCAGCCAUCCCGCGUGUGCGAUGAAGGCCCUUCGGGUUGUAAACGCACGGCAGGGAAAGAAACGGCACGGGAUAAUACCCGUGCAACUGACGGUACCUGCAGAAUAAGCACCGGCUAACUACGUGCCAGCAGCCGCAGUAAUACGUGAGGUGCAAGCGUUAAUCGGAAUUACUGGGCGUAAAAGCGUGCGCAGGCGGUUCGGAAAGAAAGAUGUGAAAUCCAGAGCUUAACUUUGGAACUGCAUUUUUAACUACCGAGCUAGAGUGUGUCAGAGGGGAGAAUUAAAUUCCGCGUGCUUAGCAGUGAAAUGCGUAGGCUAUGCGGAGGAGCACCGAUAGCGAAAAACAGCCUCCUGGGGAUAACACUGACGCUCAUGCGCAGCGUGGGGAGCAAACGGGAUUAGAUACCCUGGUAGUCCACGCCCUAAACGAUGUCGGCUAGCUGUUGGGGCCUUCAGGCCUUGGUGGCGCAGCUAACGCGUGAAGUUGACCGCCUGAGAUACAGUCGCAAGAUUAAACUCAAAGGAAUUGACGGGGACCCACACAAGCAGUGGAUGAUGUGGAUUAAUUCGAUGCAACGCGAAAAACCUUACCUACCCUUGACAUAUCUGGAAUCCCGAAGAGAUUUGAGUGCUGAAGAACGGAACGAACACAUGGCUGUCGUCAGCUCGUGUCGUGAGAUGUUGGGUUAAGUCCCGCAACGAGAGCGCAACCCUUGUCAUUAGUUGCUACGAAAGACAUAUCUAAUGAGACUGCCGGUGACAAACCGGAGGAAGGUGGGGAUGACGUCAAGUCCUCUGGCCCUUAUGGGCCAGGCCUGCGUCAUACAAUGGUCAGGACAGAGGUCGCCGGCCACGAGGGAGCCAAUCCAGAAACCCGAUCGUAGUCCGGAUCAUGAUCUGCAACUCGACGUGAAGUCGGAAUCGCUAGUAAUCGCAGGAUCGACAUGUCGCGGUGAAUACGUUCCCGGGUCUUGUACACACCGCCCGUCACCAUGGAGUGGGUUUUCGAAGUAGUUAAGCCUAACCGUAAGGAGGGCGAUUACAGUAGGAUUCAUAUGACUAGGGUGAAGUCGUAACAAGGCCG
rnacentral:rRNA from 1 species